rnacentral:rRNA from 1 species
GACGAACGCUGGCGGCGCGCUUAACACAUGCAAGUCGAGCGAAGCGGCGGACGGGUGAGUAACACGUGAGUAACCUGCCUUAGACAUUGGGAUAGCCUCGGGAAACCGGGAUUAAUACCGUAUGGUGAGAGAUGGCCUCGCGUCUGAUUAGUUAGUUGGUGGGGUAACGGCCUACCAAGACGACGAUCAGUAACCGGCAUGGGAGGGUGAACGGUCACAUUGGAGCUGAGACGCAGUCCGAACUCCUACGAGAGGCAGCAGUGGGGAAUCGUGCACAAUGGCGUGAACCCUGAUGCAGCGACGCCGCGUGAGCGAUGAAGGUUUUCAAAUCGUAAAGCUCGGUCCUAUGGGGAGCGGUACCAUAGGAGGAAGCCCCGGCUAACUACGUGCCAGCAGCCGCGGUAAUUC